rnacentral:rRNA from 1 species
UACGUAGGGUGCGAGCGUUGUCCGGAAUUACUGGGCGUAAAGCGUGCGUAGGCGGUUCGUUAAGUUCGUUGUGAAAGCCCCGGGCUCAACCUGGGAACUGCAUUUGUGACUGCAUCGCUGGAGUGCGGCAGAGGGGGAUGGAAUUCCGCGUGUAGCAGUGAAAUGCGUAGAUAUGCGGAGGAACACCGAUGGCGAAGGCAAUCCCCUGGGCCUGCACUGACGCUCAUGCACGAAAGCGUGGGGAGCAAACAGG